rnacentral:lncRNA from 10 species
UGCUGAACUCAGCCAAAAAGCUGUUAAUAACUCCAGCAGAUGUUUCAGCUUUUUAGGCCAAUAGACUCCCUCUCUCCCUGCCCUCCCCUUUCCAGAAUCUGAUGCCAAUAUGACUGAACUCCAGUUUUUGUGGUUGUUGUCGCCACCGCCGCCGCUGCUAGGGCUGGUGAUACAGUGCCGCUGAGGAAUGAUCCUUUAAACAACCACUGGCCACAGAACCUCAGCCCUCUAAGAUGUGGAAGUCGAGAUUCAAAGAUGACACAGGUAGCAAUGCUGGCCAUGAAGCUAAAGUGUCAUACCGUGCUGGCCUCUUCCUAAAACUGGUGCUUGGACAUUGCCUGCGAUGUAGAACUCACUGCCUCAGGGACAAACAAUUUCAUCUUUAACAUUUACAGAGUAUUACCACUAGACUGUCCAUCAGGGAUCUCAAAUGUAACAUGUUCAAUACUUAAUUCGUAAAGUUGUUUCAUAAUUUUGUUUCUAGUUAAUUGAGGAGCUGGGCUUACCAGAAAAGAGCAGGCAGUAAUGAGGAUAACAUUAUUCCAUCAAUAAUUAACCACAGAUUAUAUUUUAAGCAUUCAUUUUUAUUUUAUUACUAAGGCCAAAGAAAGAGGUCAGUAAAAAUUGUUACCUUAUCUCCUUGGGAUUUUCCAAGAUCACCUUGUUAGAGCUUAAUGCUCCAUUUAUGUUAGAAGACAAUUGCGUCAGUCAGAGUUCCAAGCAAAAAGCAGCUGGUACAUUCAAAAGGGUUUGAGGCAUGUUAAUGAAGGGACAUUUACAAAGGUGUGGGCAGAGUUCAGGGAAAUUAACAGAGUAGUUGUUCACCACUGCAAGCAUUUCAAGGAUAUCAAUGGUGGAGAACCAUCAGCAGCUGUAGGCAUGAGAGAGUGAGAAAGGAGCAGGUAUCAGAACCCAGGGCAAGUGAUGAUACAAAAUGACACCCCAUCCCCUGCCUCCAGAAAAACUGUGGCCUCGGGAGGAGGCAUGCUGCCUGGAAGCUCAACCAGGAGAACAGAUACCCUGACCCCACUGUCUCCACCACCCGCAGAGCUCCUGUUGGUGGCUGAGUUCUCGCUGCUACUAAUUGGAAGACAGAAGACAAGAUUCCUUAGUAACACAGCCCAGGACACAGUAUUACAUGUCGUCCAAUACAUUACCUGAGUCUUUUCUCUUCCUACUCCUCUCUGGACACUUAUCCCUACCAUAUUCUCCCAUUUCUAUCUCCCAAAUCAGCAACAGGAAGGCUAACUAGUUUGAAAGUAGCCUUAGAUAAUGAAGAGAAAUAAUAAUCCUACAGAUCUAGGAGGUUUUGCCAUGUGACAAUGUUAGCAUGUAUCUCUUGGAUUGAACAAAUUAAUUCUAAAAGAAAUUUUACGACCUUUCUUCCAUAUUUUUGUAUCAUAAUUAGCAGACCAAACUGGCUGAUAUGCAUGUAUAAAUUUUAUACGCAUACCAAUGUGUAUUAGAGACUAUUUAGUGUUCACACAUCAAAUAAACUUUUUUCUUUUGCUCUG